CCUACGGGAGGCAGCAGUGGGGAAUUUUGGACAAUGGGCGCAAGCCUGAUCCAGCAAUGCCGCGUGAGUGAAGAAGGCCUUCGGGUUGUAAAGCUCUUUUGUCAGGGAAGAAACGGUGAGCUCUAAUACAGUUUGCUAAUGACGGUACCUGAAGAAUAAGCACCGGCUAACUACGUGCCAGCAGCCGCGGUAAUACGUAGGGUGCAAGCGUUAAUCGGAAUUACUGGGCGUAAAGCGUGCGCAGGCGGUUUUGUAAGUCUGUCGUGAAAUCCCCGGGCUCAACCUGGGAAUGGCGAUGGAGACUGCAAGGCUAGAGUUUGGCAGAGGGGGGUAGAAUUCCACGUGUAGCAGUGAAAUGCGUAGAUAUGUGGAGGAACACCGAUGGCGAAGGCAGCCCCCUGGGUCAAAACUGACGCUCAUGCACGAAAGCGUGGGGAGCAAACAGGAUUAGAUACCCUGGUAGUCCACGCCCUAAACGAUGUCUACUAGUUGUCGGGUCUUAAUUGACUUGGUAACGCAGCUAACGCGUGAAGUAGACCGCCUGGGGAGUACGGUCGCAAGAUUAAAAACUCAAAAGGAAUUGACGG
rnacentral:rRNA from 1 species